rnacentral:lncRNA from 1 species
CACAGAGAUAAUAAAGUACGACAACCUAAACCGUGACAAAAAACUAAACGCAUGCCAACUAAAAUGUAACAAAAUAUGGCUGAGAAUCAAACAUCCCCUACAAGAACUGGUUGCAGUUCGCAGUGAAAUGAAAUUUGGAUUUCUUAUACUACCAUUAACGACCAAGUAGUCAGUUUGGUAAGCUAUCAACAAAAAUUGCAAUCAACUAAAAAUCACACUACCAUUAACGAGGGCGUUCGGUACGUGGUAAUUGCUGCACGAACGCGCGCAGUGGCUACUUCAGAUUUAUAACCCGUACACGAACCACCGACACCGAGCAAGACUGCCGGCCGGUCUGACCGCGAAGCUGGCUGACAAAACUGAAGCCGGCUACAUUGCGGUUGGUGCGAUGAACAAAGCCACAUGCAUCGCACCAGGAUUGGGAUUGGAAAACGAAAGGCCAGGAUGGUGAUUUGAUGAUGCAAACUAAAAAUACGCAAAAGGUAGUGGAUGCACAUACAGCAAAGGUUUUUUUUAAUCAGUGUACUCCAAGUCACCGCGCCACCGCGGCCGCACGCCCAGCAAAAUAAUUAAAAGAUCCCUUCAAGAAAAAACAAACACCACCAACCCAAACCAGUUGCGCAACUACACACCGAGC